UACAGAGGUCCCAAGCGUUGUUCGGAUUCACUGGGCGUAAAGGGUGCGUAGGCGGUCGGGUAAGUCUGGUGUGAAAUCCCGCAGCUCAACUGCGGAAUGGCACUGGAUACUAUUCGGCUGGAGGGUUGGAGGGGGGACUGGAAUUCUCGGUGUAGCAGUGAAAUGCGUAGAUAUCGAGAGGAACACCAGUGGCGAAGGCGAGUCCCUGGACAACUCCUGACGCUGAGGCACGAAAGCUAGGGGAGCAAACAGG
rnacentral:rRNA from 1 species